UGGAUAGAUUGUUCCCGCUGUUAAAAAAACGUACAAUUAUCAAAAAAAAAAAAUUUAUAGAAGGAAAAACAAAAAAAAAUAUUGCUUAUAAAAUAUUAGAAACAUUAAUGUACUUAAACAAAAAAAACAUUAUUUUUAUUGGUUGUUCAAGUACAUUAAAUAGGAGGCUACAUAGAAAAAUUGUUAAGUUAUUAUGUAUGAAUCAGAGUAAUGCAAAAAAAAAAAUUUAUUUACUAAGGGAGAAAAGUAAUUUGUCUGAUAGUGAACACGUGGAAGUUGACAUGGAACAAAUGGAUGAGUAUGUGAAAAGUGAUGGUAUUAAAUCUGAUACAUGUGAAAUAGAAGAAGGUAUAGUAGUAAAAAGUCAAAGGGAUAAGACCAUUAAAAUAAACUCGUGUGCAUCCGCAACCUCUGACGAUAACAGAAUUAUAAUAAAUAGCAUAAUAAGUGAUAUUGCAAAAGAAGAAGAAAAAAACAAUAGAAACAGAGAAACAAGUACAGAAACAAGCGCAGAAACAAGCGCAGAAACAAGCGCAGAAACAAGCGCAGAAACAAGCACAAAACAAAACGAAACUAAUUUUGGAAACUGGAAUGAAGAAGAAACAUUAGAAAAAUAUAUUAUAAAAGUUAAAGUACCUAAUAAUAUAUAUCAUUUUUAUCAUAUCGUAAAUAAUGAACUAUUCAGUAAUAAAAUGGAAAAAAUAUGUAACAUAAUAAACCAUUUUAAAAAGCAAAAGAUAUUGAUUUUAGUAGAGAAUGGUUAUUAUUCUUUAUUAAACAUGAAACAAUAUUUAUAUACAAAUAAUAUAUUUUCUUUGUUAUUACAUGAACAAUUAGAAAUAUCGCUAAAUGACAAUAAUAAACAAUUAUUUAAUAUGUGUAAAAAUUAUGAAGAAUUGAAAAUUUUAAAAGAAACUGUAGCUAUGAUUAUGAAUAAAAAAAAUACAAUAGAAAGCAAAAACAUGUAUCUAAAUAAGUACCCUAUUGUUAUUAGUUCAUUUGAUAAUAUUCGUGGUUUUCAUAUAAACAAUUUAGAUAUUGUAAUUUUAUGUAAUAAGCCUGCCAAUGUAAAUGAAUAUAUACAUUUGUGUGGAAGGGUAGGAAGAAGAAAUAGGAACGGUUACUCUAUAUUAGUAGAAAAUGAAAAAAAUGUUCAUAUUGUUAAUAAUUGGCUGACGCAUAUAAAUGUUAAUUUUAACAAUUUGUACAUAAAAACUUUAAAUAAUGUUGAAAAUGAUGAUUACGUAAAAAAAGUAGAAGAAAAAAAAAAAAAAUUAAACCAUAUUGCAUCAAGUAUAAUGGAUGAGCUGGUGGAAAAUGAUUGAUAAAACUGGAUAGAUAAACAAACAGGUAGACAGACAAACAGGUAGACAGACAAACAGACAAACAGACAGACAGACAGACAGACAGAAAAAAAAGUAAUUGCUCAGCACAGAGUAAUUGUUUUAGUAAUAAAAAAAAAAAUUAAAAACA
rnacentral:lncRNA from 1 species